rnacentral:rRNA from 1 species
GGAGCGGUCGCCGUUCUAUGCCGUGACCAGGAAGGAGUCUAUUUGAGAUCGUCGGUGGUGCUUUUUCGCCACAUGCGGGAUCCUCUUUUUCUGGAGACAUAUGCUUGUCGGGAUGCACUAGCACUCGCCUACGACCUGACGGUAAGAAACAUAUAUGUGGCUUUGGAUUCCAAGGAGGUGGUAAACGACAUCAACCGGGGCACCGGAGGCCCAAAUGCAUCUAUUGUCCAUGAAAUAUUGAGUCAUUGUAAUAAUUUUAGCUCUUGCUCUUUUGUUCACGAGCGAAGAAACUUUAAUUUUGAGGCUCACAAUCUCGCUAAAUAUGUUUGUAAGCUGGGUAUAGGGCGUCAUGUUUGGUUGGGCACACCUCAUGACCCAACAUGUGUACCUAUGACUAUUUCUUUGAAUAAAGUCAGCGAGAUUCAUAAAAAAAACAGAGGACCGAACAUGGACUCAAAAAAAAAAAAAACAGAGGACCGAACCGAAGCGAACGACCCGUAG